rnacentral:rRNA from 1 species
AUACGGAGGAUCCGAGCGUUAUCCGGAUUUAUUGGGUUUAAAGGGUGCGCAGGCGGGAGAUUAAGUCGGCGGUGAAAUUUUGCAGCUCAACUGUAAAAAUGCCUUCGAUAAUGGGUUCCUUGAGUGUGGAUGAAGUAGGCGGAAUUUGUGGUGUAGCGGUGAAAUGCUUAGAUAUCACGAGGAACUCCGAUUGCGCAGGCAGCUUACUAAACCACUACUGACGCUCAGGCACGAAGGCGUGGGGAUCAAACAGGAUUAGAUACCCUGGUAGUCCACGCAGUAAACGAUGAUUACUGGCUGUUUGCGAUACAAUGUAAGCGGCUGAGCGAAAGCGUUAAGUAAUCCACCUGGGGAGUACGUUCGCAAGAAUGAAACUCAAAUGAAUUGACGGGG